rnacentral:rRNA from 1 species
AUGAACGCUGGCGGCGUGCCUAAUCCAUGCAAGUCGAGCGCACGGACGAGAAGCUUGCUUCUCUGAUGUUAGCGGCGGACGGGUGAGUAACACGUGGAUAACCUACCUAUAAGACUGGGAUAACUUCGGGAAACCGGAGCUAAUACCGGAUGAUAUUUUGAACCGCAUGGUUCAAAAGUGAAAGACGGUCUUGCUGUCACUUAUAGAUGGAUCCGCGCUGCAUUAGCCAGUUGGUAAGGUAACGGCUUACCAAGGCAACGAUGCAUAGCCGACCUGAGAGGGUGAUCGGCCACACUGGAACUGAGACACGGUCCAGACUCCUACGGGAGGCAGCAGUAGGGAAUCUUCCGCAAUGGGCGAAAGCCUGACGGAGCAACGCCGCGUGAGUGAUGAAGGUCUUCGGAUCGUAAAACUCUGUUAUUAGGGAAGAACAUAUGUGUAAGUAACUGUGCACAUCUUGACGGUACCUAAUCAGAAAGCCACGGCUAACUACGUG